rnacentral:rRNA from 1 species
UCUAGUGAUGAUGGCAAAGAGGUCACACCCGUUCCCAUACCGAACACGGAAGUUAAGCUCUUUAGCGCCGAUGGUAGUUGGGGCUUCCCCCUGUGAGAGUAGGACAUUGCUAGGC